rnacentral:ncRNA from 1 species
GUCUGCGCUUCGGGGUGCACUCCGGCCAGCGAUGGCAGGACGGCUGAGAUGGUUCUACCAAACCCGCGAACUUGAAUCGGGUCAUGCCGACGUAAGAAGAGCUGUCAGGAAAGGG